rnacentral:tRNA from 1 species
AAGGAGUGUUUAGAACAACAAGAACUGCUAAUUCUUUAUACUGGGGUUUAAAUCCCCAGACCCCUU